ACGAACGCUGGCGGCGCGCCUCAUACAUGCAAGUCGAGCGAGAACUCGGGGUUUCGGCCCUGGGGGAAAGCGGCGAACGGGUGCGUAUCACGUGAGCAACCUGCCCCGGAGACCGGGACAACUCGAGGAAACUCGGGCUAAUACCGGAUGUCAUCGCCGGACCGCAUGGUCUGGUGAGGAAAUGGUUCUCCGCUCCGGGAUGGGCUCGCGGCCUAUCAGCUUGUUGGUGGGGUAACGGCCUACCAAGGCUUCGACGGGUAGCUGGUCUGAGAGGACGAUCAGCCACACUGGGACUGAGACACGGCCCAGACUCCUACGGGAGGCAGCAGUAGGGAAUCUUGCUCAAUGGGCGAAAGCCUGAAGCAGCGACGCCGCGUGCGGGAUGAAGGCCUUCGGGUUGUAAACCGCUUUCAGCAGGGACGAAAUUGACGGUACCUGCAGAAGAAGCCCCGGCCAACUACGU
rnacentral:rRNA from 1 species